rnacentral:rRNA from 1 species
UUAUCCGGAUUUAUUGGGUGUAAAGGGAGCGUAGGCGGGUGCUUAAGUCAGUUGUGAAAGUUUGCGGCUCAACCGUAAAGUUGCAGUUGAUACUGGGCGCCUUGAGUGCAGCAUAGGUAGGCGGAAUUCGUGGUGUAGCGGUGAAAUGCUUAGAUAUCACGAAGAACUCCGAUUGCGAAGGCAGCUUACUGGACUGUAACUGACGCUGAUGCUCGAAAGUGUGGGUAUCAAACAGGAUUAGAUACCCUGGUAGUCCACACAGUAAACGAUGAAUACUCGCUGUUGGCGAUACACAGUCAGCGGCCAAGCGAAAGCAUUAAGUAUUCCACCUGGGGAGUACGCCGGCAACGGUGAAACUCAAAGGAAUUGACGGGGGCCCGCACAAGCGGAGGAACAUGUGGUUUAAUUC